GACUUCCUGGGUCUGGGUGUCCCUGUGCGGGAUUGGAUCCCGGGACUUUAUUGGGGCCGCAUCCAGACCCCUUUACUGCCUGGUGCCUCCAUCUCCGGCUUCUGGGUGUGCUGGGGGCCAACAGCUCACAGCCGCCCCCUUCUCUGAAUAGUUAAUUGUCCUUGGGGAACUGCUACGCCCUGGAAGUUACCACUCCCCAAACGCCCGGAGCUCAUGGCUGACUGGGGUUGCAGUAUAAAGGCCCAGCUCCUUUGCCUCCAAGAGAGUUGACUCGUGCUAUUCGUGCUCCGAGCUCCUCUGGAAUGAAGUUGAAGGAGUGAGAAUCCAGAAUAAUGAGAGGACAGCCAGCAGGGGAAGGAAGUCCCCGGGAGGCGAGUUGGGCUGGCCCUGUGCACAGCUGACAGGAGCCUGGCCUCCUCAGGAACCUCCAAGGAUUUGGCUUCGGGACAGUGCAGGGCUGCAUCCACGUUGAGACGAGCUCGGUUUCCUCAGGACUGGCUGGGAGGUGCCUCCCUGGGAGAAAAGGGUCAUCCAGAACACCCAAGAUGGGACUUCCCUGGUGGUGCAGUGGUUAAGAGUCCACCUGCCAAUGCACGGGACGUGGGUUCGAUCCCUGGUCCAGGAAGAUCCCACAUGCCGCGGGGCAACUAAGCCCGUGAGCCACAACUACUGAGCCCGCGUGCGGCAACUACUGAAGCCCGUGCACCUAGAGCCCGUGCUCCUCAACAAGAGAAGCCACCGCAAUGAGAAGCCCGCGCACGGCAACGAAGAGUAGGCAACGAAGAGUAGCCCCCGCUUUCCGCAACUAGAGAAAGCCUGCGUGCAGCAACGAAGACCCAACGCAACCAUAAAUAAAUAAAUUAAUUAAUUAAUUUAAAAAAAUAACUAGACUGUCUUUUCUAAUCUGCAUGUGUUCAGUGUACAAUUCUUGUACACCUUUUCCCUCACCUCUAUUGGAGGCUGAUUCAGAACACAUACAACCUCCUGGAGAAACUUGCCCCGACCCUGCUAUGUACUGCCACCUAGCUGGCCUGGUACUGAGUCACCAAAAACUUUUGUUCUUUACUUGAUUCUUAAUUCCUUUAGAAUUCAUUACUUUACUGUUAUAAAUGUUUAUUGUCCUUGUAAUAAAUCUUUUAAUCAUUUUUAUUUUAAAAAUAAAA